rnacentral:rRNA from 1 species
UACGUAGGGCGCAAGCGUUGUCCGGAAUUAUUGGGCGUAAAGAGCUCGUAGGCGGCUUGUCACGUCGGGUGUGAAAGCCCGGGGCUUAACCCCGGGUCUGCAUUCGAUACGGGCUAGCUAGAGUGUGGUAGGGGAGAUCGGAAUUCCUGGUGUAGCGGUGAAAUGCGCAGAUAUCAGGAGGAACACCGGUGGCGAAGGCGGAUCUCUGGGCCUUACCUGACGCUCAGGUGCGAAAGCGUGGGGAGCAAACAGG